rnacentral:rRNA from 1 species
CCUACGUGAGGCAGCAGUGGGGAAUAUUGCGCAAUGGGCGAAAGCCUGACGCAGCGACGCCGCGUGAGGGAUGAAGGUCUUCGGAUCGUAAACCUCUGUCAGCAGGGAAGAACGGUCACUGUGCUAAUCAGCAGUGAAUUGACGGUACCUGCAAAGGAAGCACCGGCUAACUCCGUGCCAGCAGCCGCGGUAAUACGGAGGGUGCGAGCGUUAAUCGGAAUUACUGGGCGUAAAGCGCUCGUAGGCGGUAUGUCAAGUCAAGGGUGAAAUCCCCGCGCUCAACGUGGGAACUGCCUUUGAAACUGGCAAACUGGAGUGUGUGAGAGGAUAGUGGAAUUCCAGGUGUAGGAGUGAAAUCCGUAGAUAUCUGGAGGAACAUCAGUGGCGAAGGCGACUAUCUGGCACAUAAUUGACGCUGAGGAGCGAAAGCGUGGGUAGCAAACAGGAUUAGAUACCCCAGUAGUC